rnacentral:sRNA from 1 species
CUCUCCAGAAAAAACCUGGUUUCAUCCAGAUCGUUCCAAUCUCCCUUCUCCCAGUUCCUUCCCGCUCGAUUCUCUCUGGCUUCUCUCUCUAAAAUACCCACUCACCGCUGCCUUCUCUCUGAUGUUUCAAUUUUCCGGCGACGACUUCUACGAUUCUGGCAACGGCCGACCUCGACGUUGGUCUCAACCGAAUUAUCCCCAAUCCCCGAUCUCCUCAGACUGAGGAGGAGGAAUGGAGGCUAUGGGACCUCCAAUUUGUUUUGAUGUGCUGUUUGCUUCACAAACCUCUACGCUUUGCUUCGACACAGAGUAGAUAGUUAUUGGGUUUCUGUGAAAGAUUGAGUUAUAAAUGGAGAGUUGAGGUCAAAAGUGUAUUUAUCUUGAUGAUGAAUUGCCGACAGAUAAGCAGCUGUGUAGAGAUCAUUGGAGUUUAGAGCGAGUUCAUCCAACUCUUCAGCUCAAACCAGUAGUAAUCUGUGAACUCCGCACCAGAAACCAAUGACUGUGAUAUGGACACUUGGACACCUAUAUGUUAGUUACUGUAAAUCGAUUUUCACAUGAAUGUAAAUAGUUUUUCAUACUGUAGGUAUUUAGAACUUUCUGCAUGUUUAUACGGUUUUAAAACCCGUAGCAUUGCUCGGGCACAGUUGCUAGUUAAAAUUUUAUAGCUCAAAAGAAUUAAGAAGUAAAACUAAAAUAUUAUGUAGGUUAUACUGGGAUUCAGAUGGUGACUUACAUGGAUUCUGAGUAAACUCUGAGGCAUUGAAUGGUUGAAAAAAGCAUGAAACAAUUAUUUGUCUUCCUUCUGCCUUUUGCGGGUAUGUUCUUUGUCGUCAAAAACUACGACUUUGACUUGAAGCUGCCUCUUCACAAUAUUCCAUCUGGAAAGAUUUAAAAA